rnacentral:snRNA from 1 species
GUCCUUUAUGGGACACCGGAUAAAAUCGAAACGAUAUGGUGAAGAUUUGCAUGACCCUUGUGCAAAGAUGACGUGACGCAUCUGAAAUAAUAACAAAGAAACU